GAUGAACGCUGGCGGUGUGCCUUAUACAUGCAUGUCGAACGAGGCGUAGCAAUACGUCUAGUGGCAAAUGGGUGAGUAAUAAAUAGGUAACCAACCCUUAAGACGGGGAUACCCCAUCGAAAGAUGGAAUAAUACCCGAUAAUGUCCCUUCCGGUGCGCUGGAGGGGAAGAAAGAUGGCGCAAGCUAUCACUUUUGGACGGGCUUUUUCCUAUCAGCUAGUUGGUGAGGUAACGGCUUACCAAGGCUACGACGGGUAGCUGGUCUGAGAGGACGGUCAGCCACAUUGGGACUGCGACACGGCCCAGACUCCUACGGGAGGCAGCAGUCGGGAAUAUUCGGCCAAUGCGCGAAAGCGUGACCGAGCGACACCGCGUGGGCGACGAAGAUCUUAGGAUUGUAAAGCCCUUUUGCCAGGGAAGAAUACGCUGGAGACAAUAUCAAUAGCGUUUGACGGUACCUGGCGAAUAAGCCGCAGCAAACUACGUG
rnacentral:rRNA from 1 species